rnacentral:rRNA from 1 species
UACGGAGGGGGCUAGCGUUGUUCGGAAUUACUGGGCGUAAAGCGCACGUAGGCGGACUGUUAAGUCGGGGGUGAAAUCCUGGAGCUCAACUCCAGAACUGCCUUUGAUACUGGCGAUCUUGAGUCCGGGAGAGGUGAGUGGAACUGCGAGUGUAGAGGUGAAAUUCGUAGAUAUUCGCAAGAACACCAGUGGCGAAGGCGGCUCACUGGCCCGGUACUGACGCUGAGGUGCGAAAGCGUGGGGAGCAAACAGG